GACCAUUUCUUGCAAUUUCUUUUCCUCUCUUCUUCUCCCCUCUUCCAUGUCCGAAACCCUAGCUUCCAAAACCUUAAUUUCCUCCACUUUUAUCAACAAAUCCUUCAUGGAUCUUGUAUCAAAGAUGGAGAACAAGAAAGGGUCAACAUUUCCAACCGAUUGAAUUUCGAAAUUGAGGUGGAAUCUCAUCCAAGCUCGCUCCUUUAUUUGUUCUUCGAGGGCACACUUCAGGAGGGACAAGCACUCCGUUGUAGCACUGUGAGUAGUAGUACAAAAAAAUGUACAUUUUAUCUAUUGUUGAUAAUUAUUGUCACUAAUGCUCUGUUCUUUGUAAGUGUUAUACGAACAUUUAUGACAAUUGGAAAUCAAUGUGAACUUACAUGAACGCUGAAAGAUUCGCGUACGUCGGUAAUCACUUUGGGAGUCCGUCUUAACCCUUGAAGCUCACCCUUCAGUUGUCAACCUCAGUAUGCCCAGGCUCCCAGACCAAGUCUAUGCAUUUAUGUCAAGUUUUGUUAAAAUUUUGGCUUGCAC